rnacentral:rRNA from 1 species
CGCGUAGGAAUCUGCCCAGUAGCGGGGGAUAGCCCGGGGAAACCCGGAUUAAUACCGCAUACGCCCCACGGGGGAAAGGCCGGGAUCUUCGGACCGGUCGCUAUUGGAUGAGCCUGCGUCGGAUUAGCUAGUUGGUGGGGUAAAGGCCUACCAAGGCGACGAUCCGUAGCUGGUCUGAGAGGAUGAUCAGCCACACCGGGACUGAGACACGGCCCGGACUCCUACGGGAGGCAGCAGUAAGGAAUAUUGGACAAUGGGCGCAAGCCUGAUCCAGCCAUCCCGCGUGCAGGAUGACGGCCC